rnacentral:rRNA from 1 species
AUCUCCAAUCGCGUAUAUUAAAGUUGUUGUGGUUAAAAAGCUCGUAGUUGGAUCUCGGCGGUCUGAGGGCGGUUCACUUGCUAGUGCUACUGCCCUAUAGACCGUAGUUUUGUCAGAGGUCUCGGGGUGCUCUUAAUCGAGUGUCUCGCGAUGCUGGCAGGUUUACUUUGAAAAAAUUAGAGUGCUUCAAGCAGGCUGUUAUGCCAGAAUAUUUGUGCAUGGAAUAAUAGAAUAGGAUGUUGAUCUUAUUUUGCUGGUGUUCGAGACUUGACAUAAUGAUUAAUAGGGACAGUCGGGGGCAUUUGUAUUCGAACGACAGAGGUGAAAUGCUUGGACCGUUUGAAGACAAACUACUGCGAAAGCAUUUGCCAAGAAUGUUU